rnacentral:rRNA from 1 species
AUGGCGAUGCCGCCGAAGCCCGGCGAGCCGCCCAAGCCCUCGCCGGGGCGCAGCCCCAGCCUCAACCCCAGCCCCUGCCCGCUCCCGCCCAUUCCCGGCAGCCCGCAGCCUGGCCAGCCCCCCGCGGCGGCGGCGCCGCCGCGGUCCCACCACCGCCGCGCCAGAUCUGAGGUGCCCUUCCGCUUCCCGGACGCCGACGGCGGGGGCUUCGACGAGAUCGGCUCCGAGGACGAUCUCUUCUCCACGUUCAUGGACAUGGACAAGAUCGCCGGCUCCGGCCGCGACCGCGCCGCGGAGACGUCCUCCUCGCCGCCGCGCCCCACCAAGCACCGCCACAGCGCGUCCUUCGACGGGUUCGCCAUGGGCUGCGGCGGGCCCGGGAGGCAGGACGGCGGCGGCGGGGGCGGAGGGGUGUUCGCCGACGUGCUGGAGGCUAAGAAGGCCAUGUCCUCCGAGCAGCUCUCUGAGCUCGCCUCCGUCGACCCCAAGCGUGCCAAGAGAAUUCUAGCGAACAGACAGUCUGCAGCUCGGUCAAAGGAAAGAAAGGCUAGAUAUAUAACAGAAUUAGAGCGGAAGGUUCAUACUCUUCAGACCGAGGCUACUACUCUUUCGGCACAACUGACGCUAUUUCAGAGAGAUACAACAGGCCUUUCCGCUGAAAAUACAGAGCUCAAGAUUAGGUUGCAGGCCAUGGAACAGCAAGCUCAACUGCGUGAUGCUCUGAAUAAUACACUCAAGCAGGAACUGGAGAGGCUUAAGAUCGCUACAGGUGAGAUGACAAAGCCUGAUGAAGCAUAUAAUACGGGAAUGCAUCAUGUUCCAUACAACCCGUCUUUCUUCCAGCUUUCCGAGCAACACACACCUCAGCACCAUUCAAGUGUUCAUCAGCUGCCAUCCCAAUUCCAACCACCUCAUCCCAAUGUCCCAAGCCACCAGAUGCUAUCCCACCCAAACACGUUCCCAGAUAUGAUGCAGCAAGACUCUCUUGGGCGGUUCCAGGGGCUGGACAUUGGCAAAGGUUCAGUGGCUGUGAAGUUGGAGGCAGAUGCUGCUGCGAAGUCAGAGGGUAGCUCCAUAUCUGCAGGUGAAAGUAAUAGCACCUUCUAA